CCUACGGGAGGCAGCAGUGAGGAAUAUUGGUCAAUGGGCUUACGCCUGAACCAGCCAAGUCGCGUGAGGGAAGACUGCCCUAUGGGUUGUAAACCUCUUUUGUCAGGGAGCAACGCCGGCUACGUGUAGCCGUACUGAUAGUACCUGAAGAAAAAGCAUCGGCAAACUCCGUGCCACCAGCCGCGGUAAUACGGAGGAUGCGAGUGUUAUCCGGAUUUUUUGGGUUUAAGGGGUGCGUAAGCGGAAUGCCAAGUAAGCGGUAAAAUCGCGGGGCUCAACCUCACUCUGCCGUUGAAACUGGCGUUCUUGAGUGGGCGAGAAGUAUGCGGAAUGCGUGGUGUAGCGGUGAAAUGCAUAGAUAUCACGCAGAACUCCGAUUGCGCAGGCAGCAUACCGGCGCCCAACUGACGCUGAAGCACGAAAGCGUGGGUAUCGAACAGGAUUAGAUACCCUGGUAGUC
rnacentral:rRNA from 1 species